GGAGGCUGUAGGGGGGAGGAUGUCUUCCUACUUCCCCCGCACCAAAGACCUGACUCGUACCAGGAGGUCAGUCACCGACUCACCGCCAUCGUCUCCAUCCCCUACAGAAAAAAGCUUCCGAGGUUACGGCUGAGCUGGAGUCCUCUCCUAGCUGACUGUGGGCAAAAGGCCAACCGCGGAGCCAAUAUAAAUAAUUUAACAAGCAUUCAGGUUCAAAUAUACAAAAUUACAUUAUUGUAUUCAAAUUAUUAUUCAAUCAUCUGAAGGAUCCAUGUACUGCUCAUUGCAUUAACUGUUGCUAUAGCAUGUCCCUUAUAUGGACAUCAUAAAUAAUAAGACAUGGAUCAUUUUUAUUAUCAUAGCAAGCGACCACAUACAUUUUUUGGGAGUUCCUACUGCUGCUAAGUGCAAACACAAGUGCCAGAAGGUCGUUGGGAUGGUUUGAAGAAGCUUUCACUCUUCUAUCUUUUAGAAAUAAAACGCAAUGCGGCUGAAA